AACAGACCGAAGGGGAGCCCCACGCUUAGGGGGCUGAGAGGUCGGCACAUGCGCCGGCGACCCUUGGAACCUGAUCCGGGUCAUGCCGGCGAAGGGAUCGGAAUCACCGCCAUC
rnacentral:ncRNA from 2 species